UUACUAUGGGAGGUGUGCCGCCCGGUGAGUGGCAGGCAGCCACGCGCGGCGCGUGUUUGCGGCGGCUGUUUGGCCGUUGAGCGCCGGUAAGAGCAGGCGGGGCCGGCUCGUGCGGCCAGUGCAGGCAGGGGCCGCCCCUCCCCCUCCGCCGGCGGCUGCGCGACCGUUUGGCCUCGCGCCGGGAGCCAUGUCGGAGUGGGGGUCCUACUAUCGCGGCGAGGGCCCGGAGGAGGACGAGGAGCAGGAGCAGCAGGAGGAGGGGGCCGAAGCGGUCGCGGACUACAAGGUCUCGGGCCGGGACAGCUUGAUUUUCUUAGUCGAUGCCUCUAAGGCCAUGUUUGAGUCCGAGGAGGACGAAGUGACUCCGUUCGACAUGACCAUCCAGUGCAUCCGGAACGUGUAUACUAGCAAAAUUAUUAGUAGUGACAAAGACCUGUUAAGUGUCGUGUUCUACGGUACAGAAAAGAACAAGAACUUAGCAGAUUUCAAGCACAUUUAUGUUCUUCAGGAGCUGGACAAUCCAGGUGCAAAGCGUGUUCUAGAGCUGGACCAAUACAGGGGGCAUAAAGGACAAGCACUUUUCCGUGAGACCUUUGGCCACAAUGCUGACUAUUCACUGGGUGAAGCACUCUGGGCCUGCUCUAAUCUCUUCAGUGAUGUCCGCAUCAGACUGAGCCACAAAAGGAUCAUGCUCUUCACCAACGAGGAUGACCCUCAUGCCAGUGACAGUGCUAAAGCCAAGCUGGCCAGGACCAGAGCUGGGGAUCUCAGAGACACAGGUAUCAUCCUGGAUUUGAUGCACUUGAAGAAGCCUGGAGGGUUUGAUAUCUCUUUGUUCUACAGGGAUAUCAUAAAUGUAGCAGAGGAUGAGGACCUUGGUAUCCAGCCUGAGGAGUCAGGGAAACUGGAGCAUCUCAGGAAGAAAGUACGAGCAAAGGAGACAAAGAAACGGGUUUUAGUCAGGUUAAAUCUGUAUUUGAACAAAGAUCUGUCGCUUUCUGUUGGUGUUUACAACCUUCUUCAAAAAGCUUAUAAGCCAUACCCCGUGAAGCUUUAUCGGGAAACUAAUGAACCAGUUAAAACGAAAACAAGGAUGUUUAAUGGAAAAACAGGCAGCUUGCUCGUGCCAAGUGACACAAAAAGAGCUCAGACAUAUGGAAACCGCCAGAUUGUGCUGGAGAAAGACGAAACAGAAGAAUUAAAACGGUUUGAUUCUCCAGGCUUGUUUCUGAUUGGCUUCAAACCACUUUCUAUGCUAAAACUGCACCACCAUGUCAGACCCUCCCAGUUCAUCUAUCCUGAAGAGUCUGUAAUAAGUGGGAGUACGACGCUAUUUAAUGCCUUAUUGAUGAAAUGCUUGGAGAAGGAGGUGAUGGCACUGUGCAGAUACACCACCCGGAGGAACACUCCCCCUCGCUUCGUGGCCCUGGUUCCCCAGGAGGAAGAGGUGGAUGAGCAGAAAGUGCAGAUAGCUCCUCCAGGUUUCCACAUAAUUUUCUUACCAUACGCAGAUGACAAACGGAACGUUGAUUUUACAGAAAAGGUGCCAGCCAGUCGAGAGCAGGUAGACAAAAUGAAGGAAAUAAUUCAAAAACUCCGAUUCAGAUACAGGACUGACAGCUUUGAGAACCCAGUUUUGCAGCAGCACUUCAGGAAUUUGGAGGCUUUGGCACUGGAUAUGUUGGAACCAGAACAAGCUGAGGAUCUUACAAGUGAGAAUUAUUGUGCCAAAGAAUGAAGAGAUGAACCGCAGGCUGGGCAGCCUGGUGGAGGAGUUUAAGCAACUGGUUUAUCCCCCUGACUACAAUCCUGAUGGGAAGGGUGUAAAGCGAAAACAAGCUUCUGAUGGUCAAGCUGACAAGAGGCCCAAGGUAGAAAUCUCGAAAGAUGAGCUGCGGAGACAUGUGCAGAAGGGCACUCUAGGCAAGCUCACGGUACCUGUUCUGAAGGACGCAUGCAGGCUUUACGGGCUGAAGGGUGGGGGGAAAAAGCAGGAGCUCAUGGACGCGCUAACUGAAUACUUUAACGAACACUAAGCAGGAGCAGAAGACCCUGGCUGACUUCUGUCUGCUUAAAGUUUUGGUUGUCUUACGUGGAUGUUCUGUCCGUUUAAUCUUGCUAUGGAGGAGAAGGCAACUUAAUGUUGCUGAAUCCAGCAGUGGAGAAACUUCUUACUCUUAGUUGUAGAAACUUCUCUGCAAAGUUUGAUUCUGUUCACAGUAGCCAAAGGCAGAGUUAAAUUCUCUGCUAACUCAGGUCACCCACCGCAGGUAAACACAGUUGUGCCUUCCUGGUUUCUUAAAAGAAGUUAUUUUGGACUUAUUUUGCAACAAUGGCUAUACCAUAUUUGCAUCAUAAAGGUGGCAAAACUCACUUCAGUGUAAGAAAACAGAAUGAUCUGUUUUACUGACGCUGCAUGAAUUCAAACAGCAGGUCAAGUCCGUGUAAUAACAGAGGGUAUAAAUGUGUUGCAUUACUCCUGCUCUCCAAAACAGCCUGUCAGUAUCAGUACUUGUAAUCAAAUUGGGCUGUUUUUCAUCAUUGGUGUUAAAAAGAUCACCAGCAGAUCAUAAAGGAGAAAAUAAUUACUAGGAAGCAGUAGCCAGUCUUUUGGGAAAAAAGCCAGAAUUUCAUAAAGCUGCACAGCUAGGUCUUUCAUUUUUAAACAGUAAGAGCAAAAGUUAGCUUAAAAAAAGCAGAGAAAAAAAAAAAGAAAAAGUCAUGUUUCCUGGAAGCCUACAAGCACUUACCUCAAUUAAAUUACUGAGAUGGCAGCGAGGUUUUCCACCUCUGUAGUGACUAUGGGCCAGACUGUCAUGCAGGCUUCUGUACUCAAAUCUGUGCUUCAAAAAUUUUUAAAAAAAGCAAGUUGUGGAGAGUAGCCCUUGUUACUUCCAGUAUUAAUUUUUAAUCAUACUUAUGGAGGCUGCAUCUGGGGCUGUCCGUGUUUUGGUUUUUAAACUUCCAUGCCUGGCAGGCCUCACUUGUCUUGCAGUGCCAGAUGAUUAAACCCAAUAGUCAUUGCCCUUGCUCUAGAAAGCCGUUCUUAUUGUUUAGCUAAACUCUUCCUACGGGAUGCAAACAUGGUAUACAUGAUGUAUCAGUUUUGGUCUGUAUGGUGUUUUUAGGUAUUCCUGUGUUUGGCACACAAACUAUUGGGCAACUUAUCGAAGAAUUAAGUCAUAUAUUAAGGUCAUGCCCAGGCUGUAAUGUGGCCCAUGUAUGGGAGCCAGCUAUGAAUGCUCUCUUGGUGGUGGGAACACUCUGGCUAUGCCAGCACACUGCUUGCUUCCACCUCCACACGGCUCCUCUCAAAGGAGCAGUUAGCCUGUGGUGAGCUCUGCAGUGUUGAAGCUUGUGUCUAUUAUACUUUCCGUCGUUAUUUUUAAUAAACAUUUGUCUAAGCAAUCAAUUUAUUUUGCCCUUUGGUAAAGAAGUUACCGUCAAUGCUUGUCUUAGCAAAACUUGAAUGCAAUAAAAUAGUGAGAGUAUCCUGUCCUUA